CAGAGGUGCUGAAGGAUCAUCAGAAACAAGGGUAAUGUUUGAAGUGGAAAGACUGAGAGAGGCUCUUGGGGAAAUAAAAUGGAAAUACGUGAGCUAGACUGAAUGUUCCUGGAGGAAUUGAAGCUGAGCAUCAAUGUCCGUGUUACUGUUUAUUUCAGAAGCUUACAUGAUAGACCCCACAACACGUGGGUGACGGCUCAUUCCAAGGUAAUCAUUGCUGCACCAAACAGAAACCUCCUUCUUGACACUCACAGAAUCAGAGUAGUCAUCUGCCAUGGGAAAUACAUCAGCACGGCGAUUCACAGUUUUGAAGACACGGUAAGUAUGAUCUUUCUUCUUCUC